UGGCUGAGAGGCUUGGUCAGCGGGUUGCCACGUUCAGCAUGGAGUCGACUUUCUGCACCUCCACGAACUUCUUCUCGAGGAAUUUUUGUGUGAUGUAAAAUCAUCGCUCUAUGUGCUUGGACUUCUGGUGAGACCUGGGCUGUUUAGCAAGGGCUAUGACGUCGUUGUUAUCACAGUGCAGUGCAAUGGUAUCUGAUGGCAUCACAUCUAGUUUUGCAAUAAACUUCUUGAA
rnacentral:lncRNA from 1 species